rnacentral:rRNA from 1 species
CCUACGGGUGGCUGCAGUGAGGAAUAUUGGUCAAUGGGCGGAAGCCUGAACCAGCCAAGUAGCGUGCAGGAUGACGGCCCUACGGGUUGUAAACUGCUUUUAUACGGGAAUAACGCGCCUUACGUGUAGGGCUUUGCAUGUACCGUAUGAAUAAGGACCGGCUAAUUCCGUGCCAGCAGCCGCGGUAAUACGGAAGGUCCGGGCGUUAUCCGGAUUUAUUGGGUUUAAAGGGAGCGUAGGGCGUAUGUCAAGCGUGCUGUGAAAUGUCCGGGCGCAACCCGGGCCUUGCAGGGGGAACGGGCGGUAGUGAGUGCAGGGCAAGGAGGCGGAAUUCGGGGUGGAGGGGGGAAAUGGUGAGAGAUGACG